GAUGAACGCUGGCGGCGUGCCUAAUACAUGCAAGUCGAGCGAAUGGAUUAAGAGCUUGCUCUUAUGAAGUUAGCGGCGGACGGGUGAGUAACACGUGGGUAACCUGCCCAUAAGACUGGGAUAACUCCGGGAAACCGGGGCUAAUACCGGAUAACAUUUUGAACCGCAUGGUUCGAAAUUGAAAGGCGGCUUCGGCUGUCACUUAUGGAUGGACCCGCGUCGCAUUAGCUAGUUGGUGAGGUAACGGCUCACCAAGGCAACGAUGCGUAGCCGACCUUGGAGGUUGAUCGGCCACACGAGGAACGAGACACGGCCCAGACUCCUACGGGAGGCAGCAGUAGGGAAUCUUCCGCAAUGGACGAAAGUCUGACGGAGCAACGCCGCGUGAGUGAUGAAGGCUUUCGGGUCGUAAAACUCUGUUGUUAGGGAAGAACAAGUGCUAGUUGAAUAAGCUGGCACCUUGACGGUACCUAACCAGAAAGCCACGGCUAACUACGUGCCAGCCGCCGCGUAA
rnacentral:rRNA from 1 species